rnacentral:lncRNA from 1 species
GCUGGUUGUAUUUUACUUUUUUGAGUUAUUGUUCUUUGAUCAUGUUGAUCUUAUGACAGUAACUUGUAACAUUAAAAGUUGUAAGUUUCAUUAUGUUUUAUUACUAGUAGCACCAAACACCUCUGUGACUUUUAAAAAAGACAUGAUCUUUCUAAAAGAGUUACAGUAUAAGAAGGUUUUGAUAACGGAUCCUUUUUUUUUCCUUUAUUUUUUUAAUAUUCAGUUCUUUAUCUCUAUUUUUACCAUUUUUUUAUCAGCACUCCAUUGUCCUUUAUAAAUUUAUUGUUAAGCCGAUUCAUUCCAUGAUUGACUUUUAUAAAAAUAAAAUAAAAUUGCGAAUGGAAAUGGCGAAUCUGUCUAAGAGACAAUAACCCUACCAAAGAGCAGAA